CAUGGCUCAGGACGAACGCUGGCGGCGUGCUUAACACAUGCAAGUCGAACGGUGAAGGGACCGGCUUUUGCUGGUUCUGGAUGAGUGGCGAACGGGUGAGUAACACGUGAGUAACCUGCCCCCUUCUUCUGGAUAACCGCAUGAAAGUGUGGCUAAUACGGGAUAUUCUGGGUCUGUCGCAUGGCGGGCCUGGGAAAGAUGCGCCUUUGGGUGUUUUUGGUGGGGGAUGGGCUCGCGGCCUAUCAGCUUGUUGGUGGGGUGAUGGCCUACCAAGGCGGUGACGGGUAGCCGGCCUGAGAGGGUGGACGGUCACACUGGGACUGAGACACGGCCCAGACUCCUACGG
rnacentral:rRNA from 1 species